ACUCCUACGGGAGGCAGCAGUGAGGAAUAUUGGACAAUGGGCGAGGGCCUGAUCCAGCCAUGCCGCGUGCAGGAAGAAUGCCCUAUGGGGUAGUAAAACUGCUUUGAUACGGCAGAAAAAGGGGACGACGUGUGCCCUGUUGACGGUACCGUAAGAAUAAGGACCGGCUAACUCCGUGCCAGCAGCCGCGGUAAUACGGAGGGUCCGAGCGUUAUCCGGAAUUAUUGGGUUUAAAGGGUCCGUAGGCGGGCCNGGUAAGUCAGGGGUGAAAGUCUGUAGCUCAACUAUAGAACUGCCUUUGAUACUGCCGGUCUUGAGUCACGGUG
rnacentral:rRNA from 1 species